AUCGCAACCUCGUGCAUUGCGGUUCCUAUGCGUCAUCCGCACCCAUCUGCCGACUGCUCGCUACGUCUUGUUUGCC
rnacentral:sRNA from 1 species